rnacentral:rRNA from 1 species
GAUGAACGCUGGCGGCGUGCCUAAUACAUGCAAGUCGAGCGAACGGACGAGAAGCUUGCUUCUCUGAUGUUAGCGGCGGACGGGUGAGUAACACGUGGAUAACCUACCUAUAAGACUGGGAUAACUUCGGGAAACCGUAGCUAAUACCGGAUAAUAUUUUGAACCGCAUGGUUCAAAAGUGAAAGACGGUCUUGCUGUCACUUAUAGAUGGAUCCGCGCUGCAUUAGCUAGUUGGUAAGGUAACGGCUUACCAAGGCAACGAUGCAUAGCCGACCUGAGAGGGUGAUCGGCCACACUGGAACUGAGCCACGGUCCAGACUCCCACGGGAGGCAGCAGUAGGGAAUCUUCCGCAAUGGGCGAAAGCCUGACGGAGCAACGCCGCGUGAGUGAUGAAGGUCUUCGGAUCGUAAAACUCUGUUAUUAGGGAAGAACAUAUGUGUAAGUAACUGUGCACAUCUUGACGGUACCUAAUCAGAAAGCCACGGCUAACUACGUG